AAGCGGAGGAAAAGAAACCAACAGGGAUUGCCUUAGUAGCGGCGAGUGAACAGGCAAGAGCUCAGAUUUGAAAGCCCUCGGGCAUUGUAUUCUGAAGCCUUGGUCCUGAGAAUCGGUGUUUAAGUCUUCUGGAAAGGAGCGCCAUGGAGGGUGAUAGCCCCGUACGACACCACUCUCAUUGUAGGACUUUGGCAUGGAGUCGAGUUGUUUGGGAAUGCAGCUCAAAUGGGUGGUAUGCUCCAUCUAAAGCUAAAUAUCUGCGAGAGACCGAUAGCGAACAAGUACUGUGAAGGAAAGAUGAAAAGAACUUUGAAAAGAGAGUGAAAAAGUACGUGAAAUUGUUGAAAUGGAAGGAUAGGCCGCUAACCAUGUAGGGUCGUGUUCGAGGGGAAGAUAAAAGCUGAAGAAUGUAGCUCCUCGGAGUGUUAUAGCUUCAGUCCAUAUUCCCUCUCGAGCGCGAGGAUUGAAGACUCUGCUAAAUGGUGGUCUAUCACCCGUCUUG
rnacentral:rRNA from 1 species